rnacentral:piRNA from 1 species
UAACCUGUUCAAUAAAUUGUA